rnacentral:misc_RNA from 1 species
GUAGGUGAACCUGCGGAAGGAUCAUUAAUGGUGCUUGCAGAAAUGCUUGCACGGCGGCGGCCUUAAAACGCGCCAAAUGGCACCCUUUGUUUACGAGUACCGUUCGUUUCCUCGGUGGGCUCGCCCGCCGGUUGGACAAUUUAAACCAUUUGCAGUUGCAAUCAGCGUCUGAAAAACAUAAUAGUUACAACUUUCAACAACGGAUCUCUUGGUUCUG